GCAAGUCGAGGGGUAACAUGAUAAAAGCUUGCUUUUUACUGAUGACGACCGGCGCACGGGUGAGUAACGCGUAUCCCAUCUACCCAUUACACAGGAAUAGCCUUGCGAAAGUAAGAUUAAUGCCUGAUAGUCUUCAUUAGAAUCCUUUCUUUUGAAGUAAAGAUUUAUCGGUAAUGGAUGAGGAUGCGUCCCAUUAGGCAGUUGGUAAGGUAACGGCUUACCAAACCUACGAUGGGUAGGGGUUCUGAGAGGAAGACC
rnacentral:rRNA from 1 species